rnacentral:rRNA from 1 species
UGGGGAAUUUUGGACAAUGGGCGAAAGCCUGAUCCAGCAAUGCCGCGUGUGUGAAGAAGGCCUUCGGGUUGUAAAGCACUUUUGUCCGGAAAGAAAUCCUUGGCUCUAAUACAGUCGGGGGAUGACGGUACCGGAAGAAUAAGCACCGGCUAACUACGUGCCAGCAGCCGCGGUAAUACGUAGGGUGCAAGCGUUAAUCGGAAUUACUGGGCGUAAAGCGUGCGCAGGCGGUUUGCUAAGACCGAUGUGAAAUCCCCGGGCUCAACCUGGGAACUGCAUUGGUGACUGGCAGGCUAGAGUAUGGCAGAGGGGGGUAGAAUUCCACGUGUAGCAGUGAAAUGCGUAGAGAUGUGGAGGAAUACCGAUGGCGAAGGCAGCCCCCUGGGCCAAUACUGACGCUCAUGCGCGAAAGCGUGGGGAGCAAACAGGAUUAGAUACCCUGGUAGUCCACGCCCUAAACGAUGUCAACUGUUGUUGGGGAUUCAUUCCUUAGUAACGUAGCUAACGCGUGAAGUUGACCGCCUGGGGAGUACGGUCGCAAGAUUAAAACUCAAAGGAAUUGACGGGGUCAUAGCUGUUUCCU